CUAUGCUGGCAUUAUUUCUUGAAAGAUUUCAAGAUCCUCUAAUCGGAUACAAGACAAUAUCAGUUGCAGUUUCAAUGGUAAUUGUCUAAUAAUACACCUCGAUGUUGCAGUUUGUUUGUUUUUGCUAACGUCUACAAUGUACUUGUGAUGUGUCGGCUCUACUCUUUUAUGUAUACUUAGCGAAGCUUCUUCAUGCUUUAUUUUUCAGGCACUUCCAAUAGAGAAGCCUCCUCGACCACAGGCAGACUGUUCUCGUUGUUGGUAUUCCCAUGAAAAUUGAUGGUUCAAUAAAAAACAGAUAUCGUCUCUGUUUUCCUCUGUUAUAUCUGCUUGAUUCAUCGGCCUGAGCAUUUUUAACCUUGUAUUCAUCUGAGAUUUUCUUUGGAUCAUCCCAAUCAUAAGCUUCUGAGAUCAAGAAGAUCGAUCUUUGCGGCAAACAUAUUCAUGGAUAAGAAUCUGUGCAAGAAACUAACUUAUAAAGAGAGUGAAGAUGAAGGUUUAGUAAGGUUAGAAAUACUUAGCUUGAUUUGAAACAACGUCACCUCAAGAAGUUUAUCUACGACUUGUUCAAUGUAAGAUUUUUAUUUAUUUGAGGUAGCAGAGCGUCAUGGAGGAUUUUGAUUGGCUAAAGAUGAAGGCGAUUGAUGGCGCCUCUUCAUCUUUCUCUGAUGAAGACGAUUGAUCAUCUUCAUCUUCCUCUGGUGAAGGCGAUUGGCGGCGCCUCUACAUCUUCCUCUGAUGAAGGCGAUUGAUGGCGCCUCUUCAUCUUUCUCUGAUGAAGACGAUUGAUCAUCUUCAUCUUCCUCUGGUGAAGGCGAUUGGCGGCGCCUCUA
rnacentral:misc_RNA from 1 species